UGAACGCUUCCGGCUGGAGCCCGGAGAGCCCGGGGCUCGGCGUCCGAGCUGUCACUGGCUGGGAGACGCCGUCGGAAGAACGGGCCGCCCGCCCUAGCAGCGGGAUCCCCGCCGGUUGCUUCGGGCUCGGAGGCCUCGGAUUGAGCGAGUCGGCGUCAAGGCUAAUAAAUAAAGUCUUAAAAAAAAAAUAAAGCCUACCGGGAGAAGAUGAGCAAGGAAGUCACGACCGCGAGGGGUUCGUCCACCCACUGAGACGGUAUGACUGAUCUAAUGGAAGCUCACCAAGGCCAGCUGGACUGGGACUGAUGGAGCAUGUGGUCAAACCGGACUCUGAAUGUGGCUGACAAUGAGGGCUGACUGAGGAGCCAAUGAUAAUGGCACUGGGAUUUGAUUCUACUGCAUGUACCGGCUUUUUGGGAGCCUAGACUAUUUGAAUGCAAAGCUUCCUAGACCUGGAUGGAGGCGGGGAGGGCCUUGGAGCUCCCACAGGGCAGGGAACCCUGACUUCUCUUAGGACUGGAGACGGAGAGGAAGGGUGAGUGGGAGGGAAAUGGGAGGGGGAGAGGAGGUGGAAAUUUUGAAUGGUAUUAUUUAUAAAGCAAAAAAAUAAAAAUAAAAAAAUAAAGCCUAGCCUGGUCUACAAGAGCUAGUUCCAGGACAGGCUCCAAAGCUACAGAGAAAUCCUGUCUCGAAAAACUAAUAAAUAAAUAAAUAAAUAUAA